rnacentral:rRNA from 1 species
CAGUCGCCGCGGGAAUACGAAGGGUGCAAGCGUUAAUCGGAAUUACUGGGCGUAAAGCGUGCGUAGGCGGUUUGUUAAGUCUGUUGUGAAAUCCCCGGGCUCAACCUGGGAAUGGCAAUGGAUACUGGCAAGCUAGAGUGUGUCAGAGGAUGGUGGAACUCCCGGUGUAGCGGUGAAAUGUGUAGAGAUCGGGAGGAACAUCAGUGGCGAAGGCGGCCAUCUGGGACAACACUGACGCUGAGGCACGAAAACGUGGGGAGCAAACAGGAUUAGAUACCCCUGUAGUCCCUGUCUCUUAUAC